GAAGUUUCCGUGAGCUGGUAAACGAGGAAAAGAAAGGGGAAACAGGGGAGGAAGACUAAAAUUGGGAAUCUUUAAAUAAUGGGUGAUUUGUGAAUAUUUGUGAUAGGGAGCAAGGAAGAGGCUAGUAGGAUGUUUGCAGAAGAAAGCUUCUGAGGAAAAUUCGUGGUCUUGAUCUCGUAUUGGAGAACUACCAAAGAAAACGCGAGGUUGAAGACGAGCGCAUAAGAGACAUGUGAGGCACGUGGGAAGGCUGCGUCUGGGGGUGCGACUGGACGUAUCCCGGGCGCGUGAGGCAGGGAAGGUUGGCAAGUCUAAUGGGAAGGAAUUGUGUUAAAAUACCCUAUUAAAUGUACAUCAAAG